rnacentral:rRNA from 1 species
UACGGGGGGAGCAAGCGUUGUUCGGAUUUACUGGGCGUAAAGGGCGCGUAGGCGGCGUGACAAGUCACUUGUGAAAUCUCCGGGCUUAACUCGGAACGGUCAAGUGAUACUGUCGUGCUAGAGUACAGAAGGGGCGACUGGAAUUCUCGGUGUAGCGGUGAAAUGCGUAGAUAUCGAGAGGAACACCUGCGGCGAAGGCGGGUUGCUGGGCUGAUACUGACGCUGAGGCGCGAAAGCGUGGGGAGCAAACGGG